UCAGGACCCACCACCCAUUUUCUUCUUUCUCUCUCUAACAUUCAUAGAAAGAGGAUAACAACAAAAGUCUCAGCACCGUCACUUCCUUUCUCUCUCAUUCCCUCUCUCUCUCUCUCUUUCUUUUUUCUCUGCAGUUGAUGAGUUUCAGCGGAGAAGGACGAGAAGAGUUUGAAAUGGAUUACGGAAGGAUAUCGUGAAUGAUCAAUUUUCUUGGGAUGUUUCACCAGAACUUGAAAUUCAGUGGCUCCUAAAAUAAAAUCCUUUAAGUUAUCAUUUUUGUUUGAAUAGUGCUUGGAUUAGAAAGCCAUUCAUCAACAAGCAAGUGGUUUCAAGCCUUCGAUACUGGGGUUUAAAUAAUUUGCUUUUGUAUCCUAACUGUGGUGCCAUUAUUCAAACGAUGAACACCAUGGGCAUCUUUGAGGAUAUUAGCUUUUGCCGAAAUCUUGAAUAUUUUUCGGCUCCUCCUGGAGAACAAGAGACAGCUCAGGAGCAUGAAGCUGAAGCUGUUUUGGAGGAAGAUUAUAGUGAUGAAGAGCUGGAUGUUGAUGAGCUUGAGAGAAGGAUGUGGCGUGACCGAAUGCUUUUGAGGCGACUCAAAGAACAGAGCAAAGAGAAGGAAGGUGCUGAUAGUUCAAAGCAGCGUCAAUCCCAGGAGCAGGCCCGAAGGAAGAAGAUGUCUCGGGCUCAAGAUGGGAUCCUGAAGUAUAUGUUGAAAAUGAUGGAGGUCUGUAAAGCUCAAGGGUUCGUUUAUGGGAUUAUUCCUGAGAAAGGAAAACCAGUCAGUGGAGCUUCUGAUAAUCUUCGUGCAUGGUGGAAGGAAAAGGUUAGAUUCGAUAGAAAUGGCCCUGCAGCAAUUGCCAAAUAUGAGGCAGACCACGCAAUUCCAGGAAACAACGAUGAGUGCAAUACAGUGGCGUCCACUCCUCACACCUUACAAGAGCUUCAAGAUACAACCCUUGGAUCACUUUUGUCAGCUCUGAUGCAGCACUGUGAUCCACCUCAGAGGCGUUUUCCAUUGGAGAAGGGAGUUUCCCCGCCGUGGUGGCCAACUGGAAAUGAGGAGUGGUGGCCUGAGCUAGGACUACCUAAGGACCAGGGGCCACCUCCUUACAAGAAGCCCCAUGAUUUGAAGAAGGCUUGGAAAGUCAGCGUUCUCACUGCUGUGAUUAAGCAUAUGUCACCUGAUAUUGCCAAGAUUCGCAAGCUUGUUCGCCAGUCCAAGUGUUUGCAAGACAAAAUGACUGCAAAGGAGAGUGCUACGUGGUUGGCUAUUGUAAACCAGGAAGAAGCUUUGGCUAGGAAAUUGUAUCCUGAUAAAUGCCCACCUGUGUCGAUUUGCGGGAGCGGAUCUCUUUUGAUCAGCGACACUAGUGAUUAUGAUGUCGAAGGAGUUGAAGAUGAACCAAAUGUCGAAGCAGAGGAAAGCAAACCCCAUGAUCUCAACUUCUUUAAUAUGGGAGCUCCUGGAUCUAGGGAGAGACUUAUGAUGCCACCUGUCUGUCCUCAGAUUAAGGAAGAAUUCAUGGAAAACAAUUCUGACUUCAAUCAGAAGAGGAAGCAGAUGACGGAUGAAUCAAAUACGAUAAUGAACCCAAAGAUGUAUACUUGUGAGUAUUCUCAAUGCCCUUAUAACAGUGCUCGUCUCGGGUUUCUUGACAGGAAUUCAAGAAACAACCACCAGUUGAAUUGCCCAUUUAGGAGUGAUUCUUCCCAUAUAUUUAGCAUGCCAAGCUUUCAAUCUAACGAAGACAAAUCGGCAUCUCCCAUUCCUCCAUCCUUCAACCAUCCUAAGGCACCUGCUCGGCUGAUGAACCUGACUCCACCCUUCAGGGUAUCAGGACUUGGACUUCCCGAAGAUGGCCAGAAAAUGAUUUCUGACCUCUUGAGUUUCUAUGAUUCUAACCUCCAACAGGACAAACAUUUGAAUUCGGGUAAUCUUGACAUGCAAGACGAUCACAACCAACAGCAACAACUGCCAAAAUUCCAGCUCCAAGUCGACGAUAAUUUGUAUUGUCAAGCCACAAUGGUGGGAAAUACUAUGCCAAUUCAGCAGCACCCUGAUUUUUCUUCCAACAAACAUCCAUUUGACGAAUACAAGGCAGCGUUCGAUUCUCCAUUUGGCAUGUAUCCCAACGAUAACAUCUCCGACUUCAGAUUCGGUUCUCCAUUUAACUUGGCAUCAAUCGAUUAUGCAGCAGCAGACACACAAUUGCCCAAACAAGAUACACCCUUGUGGUACCUUUGACCCCAAAAAUACAACUUUUCGGCAUUGAUUGCUAGCUCCAUCCGAUGAUCUGAAGUAAAUAUAUUUUCAGAGGGAGGGGGAGGAAGAACAUCUUCAUGCCCUAAAGAAGCUCUGCUGUAUGUAGUUUCUUAUAUGUUUCUACAUCACAUGUGAGUGUGGAUGGGGAUUCGAGCUUUGUGAUGUUUUCAAGUUGGUUGGCAUAUUCAUGCAUCUCUCGUAGGUGUGCUUGUUUAUUGGGAAACAGCCAAUCCAAUCCUCUAGAGUGAACAAGGAUUUAAUGGGACAUGAAGCGUGGGGUUCUUCUUUUGUUUUUUCCUUCUUCUUUUUUUUUUUUUUUUAAAAUUUAAUUGAAUAUUGCGUGGUGGGGAUUGAAUUAUUAUUAACUAGUGAUAUAGUUGCAAAUGCGUAUUUGCACUAUCAAUCUUCUUGAGGUUGAUUCUCUCACUUCUUGCUUUAAUUUAAUGCAAUGCUUAUGAUAUGAUUGGUAUUUUUAUCUA